rnacentral:rRNA from 1 species
UACAGAGGUCUCAAGCGUUGUUCGGAUUCAUUGGGCGUAAAGGGUGCGUAGGCGGCGUGGUAAGUCGGAUGUGAAAUCUCGGAGCUUAACUCCGAAACUGCAUUCGAUACUGCGGUGCUUGAGGACUGGAGAGGAGACUGGAAUUCAUGGUGUAGCAGUGAAAUGCGUAGAGAUCAUGAGGAAGACCAGUGGCGAAGGCGGGUCUCUGGACAGUUCCUGACACUGAGACACGAAGGCCAGGGGAGCAAACGGG